UGGGGAAUAUUGCACAAUGGGCGCAAGCCUGAUGCAGCAACGCCGCGUGAGGGAUGACGGCCUUCGGGUUGUAAACCUCUCUUAGUAGGGAAGAAGCGAAAGUGACGGUACCUGCAGAAAAAGCACCGGCUAACUACGUGCCAGCAGCCGCGGUAAUACGUAGGGUGCGAGCGUUGUCCGGAUUGACUGGGCGUAAAGCGCACGCAGGCGGUCGUGCACGUGGGGUGUGAAAACUGGCGGCUUAACUGCCAGAGGCCACCUCAUACGGCGCGACUCGAGCCAUGCAGAGGUCCACGGAAUUGCCGGUGUAGUGGUGAAAUGCGUAGAGAUCGGCAGGAACACCCAGGGGGAAACCAGUGGACUGGGCAUGCGCUGACGCUCAGGUGCGAAAGCGUGGGGAGCGAAC
rnacentral:rRNA from 1 species